rnacentral:rRNA from 1 species
UACGUAGGGGUCAAGCGUUGUCCGGAUUUAUUGGGCGUAAAGAGCUCGUAGGCGGCUCAGUAAGUCGGUCGUGAAAAUCCGGGGCUCAACCCCGGGACGCCGAUCGAAACUGCUGUGGCUAGGGUUCGGUAGAGGAGAGUGGAAUUCCCGGUGUAGCGGUGAAAUGCGCAGAUAUCGGGAGGAACACCAGUAGCGAAGGCGGCUCUCUGGGCCGAUACCGACGCUGAGGAGCGAAAGCUAGGGGAGCAAACAGGAUUAGAUACCCCCGUA